GACGAACGCUGGCGGCGUGCUUAACACAUGCAAGUCGAACGGAAAGGCCCUGCUUUUGUGGGGUGCUCGAGUGGCGAACGGGUGAGUAACACGUGAGUAACCUGCCCUUGACUUUGGGAUAACUUCAGGAAACUGGGGCUAAUACCGGAUAGGAGCUCCUGCUGCAUGGUGGGGGUUGGAAAGUUUCGGCGGUUGGGGAUGGACUCGCGGCUUAUCAGCUUGUUGGUGGGGUAGUGGCUUACCAAGGCUUUGACGGGUAGCCGGCCUGAGAGGGUGACCGGCCACAUUGGGAUGGAGAUACGGCCCAGACUCCUACGGGAGGAAGCAGUGGGGAAUAUUGCACAAGGGGCGGAAGCCGGAUGCAGCAACGCCGCGUGCGGGAUGACGGCCUUCGGGUUGUAACCCGCUUUCGCCUGUGACGAAGCGUGGGUGACGGUAAUGGGGAAAGAAGCACCGGCUACUACGUG
rnacentral:rRNA from 1 species